rfam:Brachypodium distachyon strain Bd21 chromosome 1, whole genome shotgun sequence.
GGUGGCAAAUGAUGUGAAAGAUUAUAUGCUAGAAUCUGAAUCUUCAUGUGGACAAAAACUCCGCUUAUUAUCUGAUGCCACA